rfam:Aedes albopictus isolate Foshan contig38872, whole genome shotgun sequence.
UGUUCGGUAGCUUAGUUGAUCAAAGCACCGGACUAGCGAUGCGGAAUCGUGGGUUCGAAUCCCACCAAAACAA